rnacentral:rRNA from 1 species
AGAGUUUGAUCAUGGCUCAGAAUGAACGCUGGCGGCGCGCCUAAUACAUGCAAGUCGAGCGAGAAGACGUAGCAAUACGUUUGUAAAGCGGCGAACGGGUGAGGAAUACAUGGGUAACCUACCCUUGAGUGGGGAAUAACUAGCCGAAAGGUUAGCUAAUACCGCGUACGCUCCUUGGACUUCGGUUCAGGGAGGAAAGCGCUACCGUGGGUAGCGCGCUCUUGGAUGGGCUCAUGUCCUAUCAGCUUGUUGGUGAGGUAACGGCUCACCAAGGCUUCGACGGGUAGCUGGUCUGAGAGGACGAUCAGCCACACUGGCACUGCGACACGGGCCAGACUCCUACGGGAGGCAGCAGUAAGGAAUAUUGCGCAAUGGGCGAAAGCCUGACGCAGCGACGCCGCGUGGGGGAUGAAGGUCUUCGGAUUGUAAACCCCUUUCGGGAGGGAAGAUGGAGUGGGGUAACCCAUUCGGACGGUACCUCCAGAAGCAG